rnacentral:rRNA from 1 species
UCGGGAAUUUUGGGCAAUGGGCGAAAGCCUGACCCAGCAACGCCGCGUGAAGGAUGAAGUAUUUCGGUAUGUAAACUUCGAAAGAAUAGGAAGAAUAAAUGACGGUACUAUUUAUAAGGUCCGGCUAACUACGUGCCAGCAGCCGCGGUAAUACGUAGGGUGCAAGCGUUAAUCGGAAUUACUGGGCGUAAAGCGUGCGCAGGCGGUUGUGUAAGUCAGAUGUGAAAUCCCCGGGCUCAACCUGGGAAUUGCAUUUGAGACUGCACGGCUAGAGUGUGUCAGAGGGGGUAGAAUUCCACGUGUAGCAGUGAAAUGCGUAGAUAUGUGGAGGAAUACCGAUGGCGAAGGCAGCCCCCUGGGAUAACACUGACGCUCAUGCACGAAAGCGUGGGGAGCAAACAGGAUUAGAUACCCCUGUAGUCCCUGAGCGGGCUGGCAAGGCGCAU